UACGGAGGGUGCGAGCGUUGUCCGGAAUCAUUGGGCGUAAAGGGCGCGUAGGUGGCCCGGUCAGUCAGUGGUGAAAGCGCGGGGCUCAACUCCGCGUCGGCCAUUGAUACUGCUGGGCUUGAGCACUGUAGAGGCAGGCGGAAUUCCGGGUGUAGCGGUGGAAUGCGUAGAGAUCCGGAAGAACACCGGUGGCGAAGGCGGCCUGCUGGGCAGUAGCUGACACUGAGGCGCGACAGCGUGGGGAGCAAACAGG
rnacentral:rRNA from 2 species